ensembl:lncRNA
CCUCCUCCUUUUCCGAUCUUGCAGUGGAACAGGCAGAAAAGCUGCUGCAGCGACGUCCCACCGCUCUGCAUCAAAGGAAAGAAGCAGCACCACGAUCCCGACCAAAGACCCAGUUCACAUUCAUCUAGAAGAAGCUCCAUCCAUCAGAUCCCUGCCGUCUCCUUCCUGCAGCGCUGGUUGUCGAUGUGAAACCUCUGGACCUGCAGCAGAGACACCAUGAGGGACUAGGACCAGCGUCGUCAAUCGUUGUAAAGGUGUCACUAUUAUACACACAUACACACACACACAUAUAUAUAUAUAUAUAUAUAUGUGUGUGUGUGUCAAUACCAAGAGGAGGAACCAGAGAGGAAGAACCAAGAGAAGGAACCAAGAGACGGAACCAAGAGGAGGAACCAGAGAGGAAGAACCAAGAGAAGGAACCAAGAGACGGAACCAAGAGGAGGAACCAGAGAGGAAGAACCAAGAGGAGGAACCAAGAGAUGGAACCAAGAGGAGGAACCAGAGAGGAAGAACCAAGAGGAGGAACCAAGAAGAGGAACCAAGAGGAGGAACCAGAGAGGAAGAACCAAGAGGAGGAACCAAGAAGAGGAACCAAGAGGAGGAACCAGAGAGGAAGAACCAAGAGGAGGAACCAAGAAGAGGAACCACAGAGGAGCUAAGUAGGAGCAUAGAAGCUCCUUUCCUCAGCACUAGAGAAUAGAACAGCUCUCCUCUUCACUCGGUGAGGAACGUUCCUAAGAACAAGAAACAAAGCAGCUCUCUGCUGAACUCUGAGAUGAAAC